rnacentral:tRNA from 1 species
GACCAGUUAUGGCCAAGUGGUCAAAGGCAUUAGCUUAAGGUCAAGUCCGGAAGGGCGUAGGUUCGAACCCCACAGCUGUCA